GAUGAACGCUGGCGGCGUGCCUAAUACAUGCAAGUCGAGCGAACAGACGAGGAGCUUGCUCCUCUGACGUUAGCGGCGGACGGGUGAGUAACACGUGGAUAACCUACCUAUAAGACUGGGAUAACUUCGGGAAACCGGAGCUAAUACCGGAUAAUAUAUUGAACCGCAUGGUUCAAUAGUGAAAGACGGUUUUGCUGUCACUUAUAGAUGGAUCCGCGCCGCAUUAGCUAGUUGGUAAGGUAACGGCUUACCAAGGCAACGAUGCGUAGCCGACCUGAGAGGGUGAUCGGCCACACUGGAACUGAGACACGGUCCAGACUCUUACGGGAGGCAGCAGUAGGGAAUCUUCCGCAAUGGGCGAAAGCCUGACGGAGCAACGCCGCGUGAGUGAUGAAGGUUUUCGGAUCGUAAAACUCUGUUAUUAGGGAAGAACAAAUGUGUAAGUAACUAUGCACGUCUUGACGGUACCUAAUCAGAAAGCCACGGCUAACUACGUG
rnacentral:rRNA from 1 species